GAUGGUGGUGGAUGAUGGAUGGUGGUGGAUGAUGGUGGUGGAUGAUGGUGGUGGAUGAUGGUGGUGGAUGAUGGUGGUGGAUGAUGGUGGUGGAUGAUGGUGGUGGUGAUGAAGGUGAUAGUGUUUUGGUAAUGUGAUCUGUACCAGUACCAAGACUGGACCUUUAGGAAGAACUGAUAGAGCUAUCUAAUAUAACUAAAGUCAGUUUAGUUGCUUUCUUCAGUUUCCUAACCUAGUCUACAUACUUACAGGCUGCAGAACGUCACCCAGACUGGCCAGUCCUUGGACCCAAAGAAGCCAAAUACAGUCCACGUGAGUUUUCCUCCGAUCAACUGAAGGAGGGCUUGAAUGUCAUUGGUUUACAGAUGGGUACGAACAGGGGCGCUUCGCAAGCUGGUAUGACCUUCGGGAAACAACGCUUCAUUAUCGAUUAAUCACCGAACAUUUUCAUCAAAAUUUCACGCUUUUAAUGAAAUGCUACCGUGACUCCAGAUAAUUCGCGCACCUUAUUAUUUUCAUGCAAAAUUUGCUUCAAAUUAUUUUGUAUUAGUCCAUUACUAAGACUAAAUUUUGAUCUAGGCAAGAAGAACAAAAUCCAUCACCACAGCUAGAAAGAGCAUGUUAAAGUUAGUAAAAUUGCAAAGGUUGGCCACGAAAUGUUGUAAAAUGAGGAAAAUAUAGCCCUACGAAAUUUGCAAAUUUUAUUCUUCUUGCCUAAAUCAAAAUUUAGUCUAUAACUGGAAUUGCCCAUUCUAUUGACCAUGAAUAUUCUGAAUGGCCCGAUUCUACUAUAGACGGCCAGAAUAGCUUGUUCUGCUAACCAUUUUCCAUAUACUGUACUAUGUAAAUUCGUGUGAUACUAUACGUAUAUAUAAUUUCUGUAAUACCUAUAGCGUGAUAAUAUUAGUAUAAAUUUUAAGUUUCAUAGGUAUUCCUUUCGUUAUGGACAAUUUAUCAUAAUGUAAUAAGUCUGUAUUAGCUUGUAAUGGCCGUCUAUUUGAAGGCGAUGAUGGUAAAGGUUGGGGGAAAUAUUGAAAUUAAAAAUUUUUGCAUCAACGUGAUUUGCUUGUGGUUUAUUUUAGAAAUAUCGUCGUUUUGUACAAAGAAGAAAUUGUUUAGUUAUUUACAGGGACAUGUGUCUUCCUACCAAACACAGAAAUUUUCUCCGAUUGCAAGUAAUCAAAUUGGUUUGUCAAAUUGGUUUGGUGGGGGCUGGCACCGAAGAGAAAUGUUUUUCUUGAAAAAAAUUUUUUGCUUAUCCAACUAUUAAAAAAUCUUUCGAAUUUUUUACCUAACCUCAAAUAUCAAUUAAAAAGAAAUACCCACUCCUGGCGAAAAUCGUUUCAAAAGGAUACCAUUCAGUUGUCACACAUGUCCUUUACUACUUCUGUGACACGAGUUUGAUAACUGCUUGUGCAAUUUUCUGCAGUAUAAAGUUUUAUAUUGUGUCUGCACAUGUACUUUCUUUGGAGACACCAUUUGCCUCCUGACAAAUCAGAAAAUUGAUGAUUGAUUUACAUAUCGUGUAUUAACAUAUGACUGUUGACAUUGCUUUUUAGUCUUCUAUAUUUGAAUGAGUCAUGCUUUGGAAAUGACAAUAAAUUUUUAUUACCCAACCCUUGAGUUGUUUCGUUUUUCAUUUACCCAACCUUUUACUCACUCAAAAUUUUGUUUACCCAACCCUUUUCUCUUCGGUGCCCUAAACUCCCCAUGUAAUCAUAGUUAAUGGAAUAGAUGGUUUGGAAACUCAUUAGAAUAACAAUAUAACUCACUAUCUAUGUUAGUCAACGUUUAUUCAUAAAUCUGGUCGUUCACCGUCACGUGUGUAUUGUAUUUUUGCCCAACUAACCAAUAGCAAUGUUUUAGGAAAGUUACCUAUCCGCGACUCGAACAAUAGAGUAAAUUGGAAAUUACUAUUGGUGGAUUUGGCAAGAACACAAUACCCACGUGACGGUGAAAGACCAGAUUUAUGAA